GGGCGGUCGCGACCGGGACGGGUUACCGGUUCACCGGUCGAGGAAAGUCCGGACUGCGUAGAGCGGGGAGUCCUUCUGAAAAGAAGGAUGCCGCGGUCGAUAUACCGCGGUAAGACCAGUGCCACAGAAAACAGACCGCCGGCUUCGGCAGGCAAGGGUGAAAAGGCGGGGCAAGAGCCCGCCGGGCGGCAACGAGAGUUCCGUCGCAGGGUAAACUUCCUCCCGCAGCAAGACCAAAUAGGGGGCGAGCCGUUGCUCGCGGCGUCAUCAGCCCCGGGUUCUGGUCGCAUAGACAGAUGAUCGCUGCCGGGCUUGCCCGGUACAGAAUCCGGCUUACAC
rnacentral:RNase_P_RNA from 1 species